UCUCUCUCCAUUUUGAUUCUGAAAAAAUCAAACAGUAAAAAUUUUGUUUUUCAAUUUUUCUUUAGGUGCUCGGUGCUCCUCAAUCACUUCUUACCUUUCAUUUCCAUUUCUUGUUGGCUUUCCCUUUACCUUUCUUUUUUCUUUUUUUAUUUAAAUUUAAUCUUUUUGUUGCUGGGCUUAACUUUGAUUUUUUUUCUUUUUUCUUUUUAUAGUAUUCACUUUGUUUUUCUUUCACAUAUAAACUUAAUUUAUCACGUCAGAUUAGGCAGCCACCUGAAUGCUGCAUGUUCAAGUACUGCAAAGUAGUUCCCUUGUUUUUGUGGUAUGUAUUUGAUUAAAGGAUAGGGGAAGAGAUUGAUAAAGAUUAGAGGGCUUUUUCUUUUAAAAAAAUCUAGACCAGACCCUUUUGUGCGGUUGCAUUGCUAUAACUCUAACGUGGUAGAAUAUUGAGUAGUAAAUUCAUGUUACCUUUCAUUUCUAUUUCUUGUUGGCUUUCCAUUUACCUUUCUUUUUUCUUUUUUAUUUAAAUUUAAUCUUUUUGUUGCUGAGCUUAACUUUGAAUUUUCUUUUUCUUUUUCUUUUUCUUUUUUAUAGUAUUCAGGUUGUUUUUCUUUCACAUAUAAACUUAAUUUAUCACGUUAGAUUAGGCAGACACCUGAAUGCUGCAUGUUCAAGUACUGCAAAGUAGGUCCCUUGUUUUUGUGGUAUGUAUUUGAUUGAAGGAUAGGUGAAGGGAUUGAUAAAGAUUAGAGGGCUUUUUCUUUUUUUUAAAAUCUAGACCAGAACCUUUUGUGCAAUUGCAUUGCUAUAACUUUGACGUGGUAGAAUAUUGAGUGGUAAAAUAACUCUGAUGUGGUAGAAUAUUGAGUGAUAAAUUCAUAUUAUUUUUCAUUUCCAUUUCUUGUUGGCUUUCCAUUUACCUUUCUUUUUUCUUUUUUAUUUAAAUUUAAUCUUUUUGUUGCUGAGCUUAACUUUGAAUUUUUUUUUUCUUUUUCUUUUUAUAGUAUUCACGUUGUUUUUCUUUCACAUAUAAACUUAAUUUAUCACGUCAGAUUAGGCAGACACCUGAAUGCUGCAUGUUCAAGUACUGCAAAGUAGGUCCCUUGUUUUUGUGGUAUGUAUUUGAUUGAAGGAUAGGUGAAGGGAUUGAUAAAGAUUAGAGGGCUUUUUCUUUUUUUUUUAAAUCUAGACCAGAACCUUUUGUGCAAUUGCAUUGCUAUAACUCUGACGACGUAGAAUAUUGAGCGGUAAAUUUAUGUAAAAGUGACAAAUAAUCAAUCACAUUCUAAGAUAAUUAUUAAAAAUUUGUGUAAA